rnacentral:rRNA from 1 species
UACGUAGGGUGCGAGCGUUGUCCGGAAUUACUGGGCGUAAAGAGCUCGUAGGUGGUUUGUCGCGUUGUCCGUGAAAACUCACAACUCAAUUGUGGGCGUGCGGGCGAUACGGGCAGACUGGAGUACUGCAGGGGAGACUGGAAUUCCUGGUGUAGCGGUGGAAUGCGCAGAUAUCAGGAGGAACACCGGUGGCGAAGGCGGUUCUCUGGGCAUUACCUGACGCUGAGGAGCGAAAGUGUGGGGAGCGAACGGG